GCCCUUUGGGGUAUAUGGUCAACUGAAAAUAGUAUACAAAGAAGAUUAGCGUGGCCCCUGGGGCACUAAGGAUGACUCGCAUAAUCAAAGAGAAGCUACCUAUUUCU
rnacentral:snRNA from 1 species